AACGAACGCUGGCGGCAGGCUUAACACAUGCAAGUCGAGCGCGUAGCAAUACGAGCGGCAGACGGGUGAGUAACGCGUGGGAAUCUACCGUACCCUACGGAAUAGCUCUGGGAAACUGGAAGUAAUACCGUAUACGCCCUAACGGGGAAAGAUUUAUCGGGGUAUGAUGAGCCCGCGUUGGAUUAGCUAGUUGGUGGGGUAAAGGCCUACCAAGGCGACGAUCCAUAGCUGGUCUGAGAGGAUGAUCAGCCACAUUGGGACUGAGACACGGCCCAAACUCCUACGGGAGGCAGCAGUGGGGAAUAUUGGGCAAUGGGCGCAAGCCUGAUCCAGCCAUGCCGCGUGAGUGAUGAAGGUCUUAGGAUUGUAAAGCUCUUUCACCGAUGAAGAUAAUGACGGUAGUCGGAGAAGAAGCCCCGGCUAACUUCGUGCCAGCAGCCGCCGUAAAAC
rnacentral:rRNA from 1 species